CGAUCGAUCGAUCGAUCGAUCGAUCUAUCGAUCGAUCGAUCGAUCGAUCGAUCGAUCGAUCGAUCGAUC